rnacentral:piRNA from 1 species
UGGUUAGGACUGCCACCCGUGCUACC